UACGGGGGGGGCAAGCGUUGUUCGGAAUCACUGGGCGUAAAGGGUGCGUAGGCGGGUUUUUAAGUCAGGGGUGAAAUCCUGGAGCUCAACUCCAGAACUGCCUUUGAUACUGAAGAUCUUGAGUCCGGGAGAGGUGAGUGGAACUGCGAGUGUAGAGGUGAAAUUCGUAGAUAUUCGCAAGAACACCAGUGGCGAAGGCGGCUCACUGGCCCGGUACUGACGCUGAGGCACGAAAGCGUGGGGAGCAAACGGG
rnacentral:rRNA from 1 species